rnacentral:rRNA from 1 species
GACGAACGCUGGCGGCGUGCUUAACACAUGCAAGUCGAACGGAAAGGCCCUGCUUUUGUGGGGUGCUCGAGUGGCGAACGAGUGAGUAACACGUGAGUAACCUGUCCUUGACUUUGGGAUAACUUCAGGAAACUGGGGCUAAUACCGGAUAGGAGCUCCUGCUGCAUGGUGGGGGUUGGAAAGUUUCGGCGGUUGGGGAUGGACUCGCGGCUUAUCAGCUUGUUGGUGGGGUAGUGGCUUACCAAGGCUUUGACGGGUAGCCGGCCUGAGAGGGUGACCGGCCACAUUGGGACUGAGAUACGGCCCAGACUCCUACGGGAGGCAGCAGUGGGGAAUAUUGCACAAUGGGCGGAAGCCUGAUGCAGCAACGCCGCGUGCGGGAUGACGGCCUUCGGGUUGUAAACCGCUUUCGCCUGUGACGAAGCGUGAGUGACGGUAAUGGGUAAAGAAGCACCGGCUAACUACGUG